UCCCAUUGCGGGGAGCUUAUACAUGCAAGUCGAACGAUGAACCACCUUCGGGUGGGGAUUAGUGGCGAACGGGUGAGUAACACGUGGGCAAUCUGCCCUGCACUCUGGGACAAGCCCUGGAAACGGGGUCUAAUACCGGAUACUGACCUGCCAAGGCAUCUUGGCGGGUCGAAAGCUCCGGCGGUGCAGGAUGAGCCCGCGGCCUAUCAGCUUGUUGGUGAGGUAAUGGCUCACCAAGGCGACGACGGGUAGCCGGCCUGAGAGGGCGACCGGCCACACUGGGACUGAGACACGGCCCAGACUCCUACGGGAGGCAGCAGUGGGGAAUAUUGCACAAUGGGCGCAAGCCUGAUGCAGCGACGCCGCGUGAGGGAUGACGGCCUUCGGGUUGUAAACCUCUUUCAGCAGGGAAGAAGCGAAAGUGACGGUACCUGCAGAAGAAGCGCCGGCUAACUACGUGCCAGCAGCCGCGGUAAUACGUAGGGCGCAAGCGUUGUCCGGAAUUAUUGGGCGUAAAGAGCUCGUAGGCGGCUUGUCGCGUCGGUUGUGAAAGCCCGGGGCUUAACCCCGGGUCUGCAGUCGAUACGGGCAGGCUAGAGUUCGGUAGGGGAGAUCGGAAUUCCUGGUGUAGCGGUGAAAUGCGCAGAUAUCAGGAGGAACACCGGUGGCGAAGGCGGAUCUCUGGGCCGAUACUGACGCUGAGGAGCGAAAGCGUGGGGGAGCGAACAGGAUUAGAUACCCUGGUAGUCCACGCCGUAAACGGUGGGCACUAGGUGUGGGCAACAUUCCACGUUGUCCGUGCCGCAGCUAACGCAAUUAAGUUGCCCCGCCUGGGGAGUACGGCCGCAAAGGCUUAAAACUCAAAGGAAAUUGACGGGUGGCCCCGCACAAGCGGGCGGAAGCAUUGUGGCUUAAUUUCGACGCAAACGCGUAAAGAACCUUACCAAGGCUUGACAUACACCGGAAAGCAUCAGAGAUGGUGCCCCCCUUGUGGUCGGUGUACAGGUGGUGCAUGGCUGUCGUCAGCUCGUGUCGUGAGAUGUUGGGUUAAGUCCCGCAACGAGCGCAACCCUUGUCCCGUGUUGCCAGCAACUCUUCGGAGGUUGGGGACUCACGGGAGACCGCCGGGGUCAACUCGGAGGAAGGUGGGGACGACGUCAAGUCAUCAUGCCCCUUAUGUCUUGGGCUGCACACGUGCUACAAUGGCCGGUACAAUGAGCUGCGAUACCGCAAGGUGGAGCGAAUCUCAAAAAGCCGGUCUCAGUUCGGAUUGGGGUCUGCAACUCGACCCCAUGAAGUCGGAGUCGCUAGUAAUCGCAGAUCAGCAUUGCUGCGGUGAAUACGUUCCCGGGCCUUGUACACACCGCCCGUCACGUCACGAAAGUCGGUAACACCCGAAGCCGGUGGCCCAACCCCUUGUGGGAGGGACGCUUCGAGAGGUUUUGUGGGUCCAGGGC
rnacentral:rRNA from 1 species